UACGUAGGGUGCGAGCGUUAAUCGGAAUUACUGGGCGUAAAGCGCGCGCAGGCGGUUUCUUAAGUCUGAUGUGAAAGCCCCCGGCUCAACCGGGGAGGGUCAUUGGAAACUGGGAGACUUGAGUGCAGAAGAGAAGAGCGGAAUUCCACGUGUAGCGGUGAAAUGCGUAGAGAUGUGGAGGAACACCAGUGGCGAAGGCGGCUCUUUGGUCUGUAACUGACGCUGAGGCGCGAAAGCGUGGGGAGCAAACAGG
rnacentral:rRNA from 1 species